UGUCCUCCCUCAAUCUUCUAGCAGCCGGUGCUCGUUGGCCUCUCCUCACUAUUCAGCUGUUGAUUGUAUGAAAUAGAUGGUUAACACUUUAUUUUGUUGGUCCCUACUGGACGGUAGUGAUGUUGAGACACAAGAGAUUAUCAGGCCUAUGCAUAUAUAUAAAAUUGUUCAUGGAUCUUUCUUAUCUCUGAUAUAAUUUUUCCAAUGAUCAAAGAACUGUUGUUCUGGAUGUACACCUAUUGUGUUGCUUAUAUUGCCAUCACUCUUCUGGUUUACCUUAGGAGUAGUACCAAUCUUAGAAAAUGCUCCUAAUUUGGGUAAAAUUUGGAAACAUUAUGGAUGGAUAAAUUUAUGGACUUGUUCCUUUAUUACAUAAUUGUAUAGCCUAUGAUCUUAUACAGUUGAGGGCAGCUUAUCCUAUUCUUUAUGUGUGAAGUUAAAAGCUAAAUAUAGCUAAUGACAUAAGUGAUCUAUUAAAAUAUAUCGCGGAAGUAAGUACUUAUUUUUGUUUCUACUUAUUACCUAAUUUGAAUGUGAAUUUUUCAAAGACAUACAGUGUUCCAUAUAGUCUAAUUUAAUAUACCAGCGAUGAUGGUAUUGAAUCCGCGAAGAAAAUAUAUACUCAUUUCCUAAUUGCAUCUUUUAAUCAGGAGGUCAGGACCAAGCUUUAGGCAGGAAAAUGGGACAAUCUUCAGGAGAUUUCACCGAUGCCACAAAGAUGCUGCUGCAUCGAACGCAUAGGAUAAGAUGAUAUUAAGAUGCCAAAUAGCAGGUUGCUUCAAACCAGGGGAACUGGCUGGUUCAUAGAUAGUAGAACAUUCAAUCUUCGACGAUGCUCAGGGAGCAAACAAGGGGAAUUAGGGAAAAGUAUAUAUUCGUCCCUGGACUCGCUCAAAAGUAUAGAAACGGUCCUUCAACUUUAAAACCGGCAAAUUCAGCACCCACGUGGGAAUCUUCUUCUUUUCCAUUUUAACUCGGCUGGGCAUUUCGUCGAGCAGUUGGCGCCACCAGGCAACAAGAGGAAGAGAAACCCAACAGUUAAUGGAGAAAUCAGGUCACUUUGCAUCUACUUUGCCUCAGUUUUUUCAGAAGUCAAUAGAGUUUGUAAAAAAAAAAAGAAACAUGAUCCUGCGACGGUUGCCCAGACUUUUUUUUCCGGGGUAGUAAUGUUUGGAUGGGACAUGUCCCUCCUUACGUAAUCACUUUGUAAUUUCUACUUGUGCUAUGUAAUAGACGCCUUACAU